ACUCAAACUAUUGUUUUAUUCUCAUUUAGUGACGAUUAUUUUCCCCAAUAUAUUAUAACGAAACAUUUUUUUUUUAAAUAUUCCUUGUUCAUAAGAUAAAAGCAUGAUGCUUAUAUGCCAACGUAAAUACAAGAUUUUGUGGGCUCUCGUCUUAUAACAUAAGCAUUGUUUAAUUGGGUGGAAUUUGUUUAAUACGAAAAUAAAUCAUGUUGUCUUUCAACAAGUCCAGCACAUAAUUCAACAAUUUGAUUAAGUUCAUUUCUGCGAUGUCUCCACAAAGUUCCAACAACUCUAAAUGUCUUAAGACGCCUUAUUGCAUGUUCAACGUACACCCGACAUGUAGACAUUCUUCUAUUAAAUUUCUUACAUUUUCUUUUUUCCCUCGGCGUUUUCCGUCUCAAUUGAUGUCUCCUAUAUGGAGUAACAAUAGGUGCACGAUCUGCAUAAAUUUUAUCGGCUAAAAUGACAUAAUUUGGCGGAAAAUCUAAUUCUAAAUUAGUCCCAAUACUUGGUAACAGAUUGAAUUGUUGAGCAUCGUUUUGAUGGCCAAGAAAGCCACUUUUAACAAGGCGGAUAUGAUUUUCAUUGUCCACUACAAUUUGUGUAUGGAUGCAAUGAACAUGGCGAUGUCCAGAGUAAUAUUCCUCCUGCGGUUCUACUUGAGGCCUGUAUAUGGCAUGGGAGGUUCCAUCAAUGGCUGCCAAAGCAGUAGGAAUGUUUGACCAGUUCCCAUGUAACUGAAGCCAUUGUUGAC
rnacentral:lncRNA from 1 species